ACCUUUUAUACAGGAUUGUUAUUAAUAUACAUCACCAUCGGGCCAUUAGCAACAAAAGAAACAAACAAAAUGGGGUAGGGAAAGACCUUCGUCUUGGCGCUUGACUGAGAGAAUGAUCAUCACUCUUCGUCCUUAGACUUCCUGUAGGUUUCUUCGAUUUUUUUGGCUUUGAAGAGCCAUGUAUCAGCAAGCUGCUUUAUCUUGGGCACAUCAUAGUUCUGAUCAAUAUAAAUGCCACAACUCAUACCUAGUAAGAAAACAAAACUACUUCUGAACAACCCCAUAUUUUUCUGCAGUGACAAGAGAAUAUGAUAAAAUUAGUAGUCGGUUUCAGGCCAAUUGCUUGUUCAAGGAUAACACAAGACGACUCAAAAACGUACGGAACCAUCGGUUAUUCCGGACAGUCGAAUUAAAGACGGUAAGUGAUUAUUUAAUCCCAUAUUUUUCACUUUAUAUCCCUAAUUGGGAAUGGUUUUCAGUGUGGUUGUUUCGUUUGGGAGGCCUUAUCUAUAUUCGACAAAAUUCCUGCAUAAUCACAGCAGUAUCAGCGUGCAUUCAAAGGCAAGGACUUGAUCGAGAGGGCAACAUAGAAUUUAAUAUGCAUAUACAAAAUAAAUGUCAAAUUACUCAUCACAUUAUUACCUGAUAGAUCACGAGUCUCACCUCUUCGAACGGGCCGGAAAACGGAGCGAUGCCACGACGCGGACAAUGGGGAAAAUCGAGGAGAGUGAACAAAGGCGGCCGACGGACGACAGCGGGCGAAAGGAUUUAAGAGGAUCGGCGACAAUGGUGGACGAUUCACCGCCCUCGGAAUAUAUGAAGGUUGGCGAGGUUGCCCGUUGCCCAAGCAGCUCAGAACAGAUCAGCGAAUCGGCUAAACCCUGACCUUCUUCCAC
rnacentral:lncRNA from 1 species